rnacentral:rRNA from 1 species
UACAGAGGUCUCGAGCGUUAGGCGGAAUCACUGGGCUUAAAGCGUGUGUAGGCGGCGGGCUAAGUACCUUGUGAAAUCCCACGGCUUAACUGUGGAACUGCUGGGUAUACUGGUUCGCUUGAGCGGUCUAGGGGCGAGCGGAACAAAUGGUGGAGCGGUGAAAUGCGUAGAUAUCAUUUGGAACGCCAACGGUGAAAACAGCUCGCUGGGGACCUGCUGACGCUGAGACACGAAAGCCCAGGGGAGCGAACGGGG